UCCGUAGGUGAAGCUGCGGAAGGAUCAUUG
rnacentral:rRNA from 1 species